CCAGCGCCAUUUUUGAAAAGUUUCAGAAUUAAGAAUGGAGGCAACCAGUGUGUUUUGUCAGCUCCGGAACCUUGCCAGGCGCCUUGACCAGGGUGUGGUUGACAUACAGAAGAAAGUGACUGAUCCAGGAAAACAUUCGGACAGAGACAGUAGCUACGCACAUGCAUACAAGCAUCUUCAGGAUGUGAAGAAGGAUGUCCAUGCUCUGAAGGAAGAGGCCCAGGAUAAGCUGGCUAGUCAGCAGAUCAGUACAUACAGGCUGCAGCAGGUGCUGGACCUCCUUCCUCGGCUCAUUGAAUCACAGAGGCGCACUCUCACAGGAACUGAGGACUACCUGGAACAGUACGGCUAUGUGAAGCAAGUUAAGAAGACAAUACCAACAGACGCGGUUUUGAAACCAGAAGUGACGACAGUCGUUGUCCAUGACAACAGUGAUGGAGAAGGUGAUGACAGCAACAAGGAAGAACCUGAAACUGUCAAUGAUGAAGCCACGCAUGAGACUGCUACCCCACCUACACGGACGAAGCCAAGUGAAUGUAAGACUCCACGCCUGGAGGACUUCGGACUCAGUGACUUCACACUCAAUAUUCUACAGAAAGGCAGGAGCUAUGCCCCCACACAGCAUGUCCCACAACCCAGUUCACUGUAUGCACCACACCAAGGUCUGUCUGAAGACUCUCCAACUCCAGCUCUCUUCAAACACAAUGGUUUAUUGGUGACUCCGAGCCUCAUGGGUGGCCGAUAUAUUCCCCAGCAGACACCGGACUGUAACAGAAUGGGUUAUCACCUACCACAGCCCAUGUUCACAGAGGAUAGCCCUGCCCCCUUCGUGACCCCUGCAGACAAGGGGGGAUGGAGACGACUGGAUGUGCGACCCAACUAUGACACCAAGGGGAGUCCUGUUCCGCCCGUGCUGAACACCCCUGGGGCCAAACAGAUCAACAAACAGCUGUAUAGAGAGAAUGUCAAAAAACCUGCCUUCACAGAGGACAAAGACAGCCCCAUUCCUCCUCUUCUGAUGACGCCAGGGAUGAAGCAGAUCAGUAAAACCAUCACUGCCCCUAAGGUCAGCACCCUCAGCAGCAAGCCAGACAAUGACAGUCCCAUGGUGCCAGUGCUGAUGACCCCGGGGGUCAAGCAGAUCCAGAAGUCUGUCACUGACAUGAAGGCCCCAUCUGUCCCGGUGCCAGCUUCUUCCUGGGACAAGGAGCCGGAGAUGCCAGAGUUCACGCUCAGUCUUCAGGACAUUACCCAACUGACGCAAUCAUUUCGAUUCAACAACUCGACCAGCUCCAUAAACCCCCCUGAAGCUCCAGUACUUCUUGGCAAGCAGAUAAAAGACCGAGACACGCCUCCCCUGCCGGAACUGCUUUCCACCAGACUGGCCAACCUAGGCACCAUGCCAGGAACGUCAACUGUCUCCUCUGCUGCCAACACAAAGGCUGGGGAUGAUACCAUGUCAGCAAGAAUUCUAAAAGCUACACAGUGUGACACACCUCCGCCUCCGAUUCUAUUUGGCAAAUAUAACUUCACAUCUAAAUACGAACAUCGAGAAAAUAUUCCUCCCCAAUAAGAAACCUGAUAUUUCCAUUUUAGGUUGGCAAAGGAUCCAGGGCUACACUGUAGAUACCGCUAUGUGGCUUUUAGCACGAUUUGUUGACUCUUCACCCAAGUGCCCAUUGGCUGGAAAUUCAUUUAAGUCCCUAUAUUCUGUACAUCAGUUCAGUUAAGUAUUUAAGGUGAACCAAAUAUUGUAUUGGGUUAGCUGUAACCACACCU
rnacentral:misc_RNA from 1 species